UACAGAGGGGGCUAGCGUUGUUCGGAAUUACUGGGCGUAAAGGGCGCGUAGGUGGCCUGUUAAGUCGAACGUGAAAUCCCCGGGCUCAACCCGGGAACUGCGUCCGAGACUGGCAGGCUCGAAUCCGGGAGAGGGAUGUGGAAUUCCAGGUGUAGCGGUGAAAUGCGUAGAUAUCUGGAGGAAUACCGGUGGCGAAGGCGGCAUCCUGGACCGGCAUUGACGCUGAUGAGCGAAAGCUAGGGGAGCAAGCGGG
rnacentral:rRNA from 1 species